CCGAUCCACCCGACCCUCACGAUCCCGAUCUCUUCUUCCCCGAUCUCCCCUUCUUCCUUCUCUGUUCUCUCUCGCGGACAAGCGACGCCGAAGGGAAUGAAGCUUUGAUCUCCGGCGAUCUCCCUCUGCCGGCAUCAACACCCUAAGCUCAGAUCUGGUCGGUGUUUCUCCUCUCCGGGUCUUCUUCGGCUGAGGAGUUGCUAUUCGGUGGAUUUUGCACCGAUUGUUAACGAUCGGUGGCUAGGGCAUGGUGAGGGGUCGGAUCUUGCAUCGUCUUCCAUCGGUAGACCUUCCCUCUCCUCUCCUCGUGUUGGACACAGUGCGAUUACUCUCUUCGCUAGCCGGAUUGGACCGGGCGGCGCCACCUAGCAGCGAUCUGGGAGUUUACACAAGGAGGAAAGCAUCGGAUUGCUGUGGAUUCUUCCUAUUGUCGAUCAUUGCUUUCUUCUUUCUUGAAGCUGUGGAGGUCUCAGAGUAAGCAACCCAUCCAUCAGUGUUCCCUUGAUCCAGAAUCAACAGCAGCUGGAUUGAGGACUCUGAUUCGAGACGGGCGUCUCGACCUUGGAUUGCUUGAGUAUAUCUUCUUUUUGAGGCGGGUACCCUUUGACUUAUCUUGUUGAUAUUGUCUUGUGAUAUGUGCAGUUUAUAUAUGUUUACUAGUAAUUGGUAGAUCUUUCUCUUCUCUGGUUAUAGUAUUCUAUACCUGUAGGCGAUUAUUAGCGAUUGGUAGUUAGCAUAUUCCCUGGUUUAGUUAGUUGAUACCUGAUACAUGUUGCUACUGUCAUCUGCUAUACUUUCGUCUGGUAUACCUUUACUACUUACCAUGUGUAUGUAUGUUGAUAGAGAUGGGUAUUUAUGAUGCUUAUCUACACUUGAUUAGUUGCUGGAGAUACUUGUUAUAUGUUGUUGGAUUUGCAUUGCUUAUAUCAUUGUUAUACAUAUGCGUUUGUUUUAUUGGCACCUACGCAUAUGGAG